rnacentral:rRNA from 1 species
UACGAAGGGGGGCUAGCGUUGCUCGGAUUGACUGGGCGUAAAGGGCGCGUAGGCGGUUCGUACAGUCAGACGUGAAAUUCCUGGGCUCAACCUGGGGGCUGCGUUUGAUACGUGCGGACUUGAGUGCGGAAGAGGGUCGUGGGAAUUCCCAGUGUAGAGGUGAAAUUCGUAGAUAUUGGGAAGAACACCGGUGGUGAAGGCGGCGACCUGGUCCGAUACUGACGCUGAGGCGCGAAAGCGUGGGGAGCAAACAGG